GCCAUGUGCACUCAGCACAGUGCCCACAGAAGCCAGAAGAGGUCACUGCACACCUGGGGAACUGGAGUUACAAUGAUUGUGUGCCAUCAUGUGGGUGCUGGGAACCAACCCUAGACCAGCAUUCUUAACUCCAGCCCCAAAUUCAGACAUUUAGAAAACAAUCCAGGAGAGGCCCACCAGCAGCAGGAGCCACUACGUUUCAAAAGUGUGUAGUGGAGACUUGGAAGAGAACGAGAAGUGGAACAAUGUGUGCAGGGUUGUCCCUGCCCCUCAGUGGCCGCAGCACCUCACCUGGGCAGCCCAGUGGUAGAGCUGGCCCUGGUGGUGAAGACAAAGGUGAGAUGUCUCUGCCAGCUGUCCUUGCCAGCUGGGGCACUUGGUGAGCGAGGAGGGAGCAAUGCGGGAGAGCUCACCCUGGUGGUAAGGGUAUGGGAGACUUGGUGGGCUAACCAACUUCAGCUUUGAGGUGGCUUGCCCCAACACUGUAGCUUCCACAAUGACAUAUUUUGGGGCUUUUGUUGUUGUUGGUUUGGUUUGGUUUAUUUUUGGGGGGAGAGGAGGGCAGAUAUGAAGGGACGAAGAGAUGAGUGGGAUUGAGGUACAUAAUGUAAAAUUCACAAAGAACCAAUAAAAAGUUAAACACACACACACACAUACAGAGAAUUUAGACAGUUGGACCUCAAGGAUUUUGAGAGGCAGUAUCCCUGCUGAAAAUCCUUUCCCAUUACUUUAGUGCUCCUGCCCAAGUUUGCUUCAGAAGGACUUUUUCUCCUACCACUUCCUAUAAAUUGCCUGUCUACUAUUACACAUGCUAGAUUGUCAGCUUUGGGAAAACAAUCCCAUUCGACAGUACCUAAAAUGGCAUCACCCUAGCACAGGCACGAAAUGGUAUUUGUUGACUAAAUGAGCAAGCUCUCUACCCUGAGAACAGCCAUAGCUACAGCCUGUGUUCCAGAUCUUGCUUUACCCACUUUGGGUCCUAGUAUUUUUAAGGUUUUUGUUUGCUUGCUUUGUUUUUUUUUUUUUUAUGUUUGUUUAUUUUCUUUGGGGUAGAGUGGGUAUACACAAGCCGUGGCACCUGAUGGAAGUUAGAAGACAACUUUCCAGAGUCAGUUCUUUUGCUCCUCUCUAUUGGCUCCAGGGACGGAACCCAUUCCUCAAGCUCACAAGGAGAGUAUGCCAUGUACUGAGUCACCUUGCCUCCAGUAUUCUGGAUAUAAAACAGAAAUAACCCUGCCUUGUCUACCCCAGAAGGUCCUGUGAGAAGCAGCACAGAGAGACCACCUGAUAAAUUACUCCCAGCAGAAAAUAAAAGACUUCUGGGCCAGGCAACACUUUUGGGGGUGUUCUAGAGACAGAAACUUCAAAAUAUGAAAGACGAACUGAUUUUUCACAUCAGCAAGGCAGAAGUUGUGCCUGGAGAUACAACAGUUUCACGAGGUAGAAUUUUUGUUGUUGUUUGUUUUGAGACGAGAGCCUUCUAUAGCUCAGGUUGGCCUCAAACAAGGAUGGCUUGAACUCCUGCUCCUCCUGCAUCUGCUUUCCCAGUCCUGGGGUUCUGGGUGUAUACCACUCUCAACAAUUGUGUUCGUAUUCUUGCCUCAUCCCCACACGUCUGUCCUCCUCCCAACACACCUGCCUCUCUUUUCCGAGUCUCAGCCUACAGUUGCAGGCUGGCUUCUUCAGCACGGAAAGGGACAUGACUGCUAGUAGCUUCUGGCUUCAUCUUCAAGUUUUAUUAUCAGAGAGACUGGACCCUUAUUUACAAUUGACAAAGACUGCUCUUCCUCCCCCUGGUUUGAAGUGUUCAUCCUCUUGCCCAGGCUGAGGAGAUGACAAGGAAUUUGAUCACCUGCCAUUCAUAUUGACGUGGGUCUCACUAGGAAAGAGAAGCCUUUCAGACUGGAUAGCAUGAGGAGGGUCUAAUAAAGAGACAAACUUUAUUUAAGGGUAAAAAUACCACAAAGACCUGUGUCCUGAAGCGAGAAGGAGCCUGCUGGGGAGACACGGCCAUUUAUGAGCCUGGAGGGAGCAAGGAUGAGCGGGAGCCCAAACUGCUGAUGGACAAGGCUGCAUACAGAGGGUUAGCAGACAAGGGAUGAUGAGACAGCAAUCCAGCCUCUGCGUGCACCUCACUCCUGUAAUUGCCGGCAUUCUCCACGGCCGCACCACCACGGGGCGCCCAAAUUGAAGGAAGCCUGUGGAGAAACCCCACACAGGACAACCUUCCACGCACAGCGUGGGCUGGAGGAGGGGCAGGUGGAAGGCAUCCUGUCCACUAAGGCCAGCAAGCUCUGCAGAACGAGGACAUUUCUUUCCCAGAACAAGUGAAGUGUCCACUCAAGAAAGGGCCCUGGCCCUAUUAGAGCAGGGGAUCACUUCUUAGAUCAACUCUAUACGCAUGUAAGCAACUUCUUACUCUCAACAAAUCGCCUAUAGGAUUGAACUGCAAAGUGUCCAGUGCAUGGAGGUUUACCAUGUAUGACACAUAGGUGUCAUCAAAGAACACACUGACUAUUUGAAUGUUACCUAGUUUUCCACUGACCCUUUGGGCUACCAAAAAGCAUAAGAAGUCAAUGGGAGCUAUGUUACAAUGUACAUAUUUGGUUUUUUAAAUUAAAUUAUAAGUGCCUUGUAAUUUGUUGUAAUUAAUGUUUGUUGUAAUAAAAAUGUUAGGUUAUA